rnacentral:rRNA from 1 species
UACGUAGGGUGCGAGCGUUGUCCGGAAUUAUUGGGCGUAAAGAGCUCGUAGGCGGUUUGUUGCGUCGGCCGUGAAAACCUGCAGCUUAACUGUGGGCCUGCGGCCGAUACGGGCAGACUUGAGUUCGGUAGGGGAGACUGGAAUUCCUGGUGUAGCGGUGAAAUGCGCAGAUAUCAGGAGGAACACCAGUGGCGAAGGCGGUGCUCUGGGCCGGAACUGACGCUGAGGAGCGAAAGCGUGGGGAGCAAACAGG